rnacentral:rRNA from 1 species
GACGGAGGAUGCAAGCGUUAUCCGGAAUGAUUGGGCGUAAAGCGUCCGCAGGUGGCAGUUCAAGUCUGCUGUCAAAGACCGGGGCUUAACUUCGGAAAGGCAGUGGAAACUGAACAGCUAGAGUAUGGUAGGGGCAGAGGGAAUUCCUGGUGUAGCGGUGAAAUGCGUAGAGAUCCGGAGGAAGACCGGUGGCGAAGGCGGUCUGCUGGGCAGUUUCUGACACUGAUGCGCGACAGCGUGGGGAGCAAACAGG